rnacentral:misc_RNA from 1 species
UGACCAGUCCAUGGUCGAAGCCGUAAGAUCAAGCCAAUAGUGACCGUGCGGUGCCUACGGGAACACGUUUCGGUUCGUCAGUUUCGUUUGCGGGUACGUUCCCUAAUACAGUAGUACGUGGAUAUAAAAGGAGAAAAAGAGAAGUAGUACAAAGGGAGUCUCCAUCUUUGUUUAUUCAGUCGAGUAGUUGUCUAGCUAGGUCGAGUGGAAAGGAAAUAACGAAAGGGGACGAAGAAGAAGAAGAAGAAAAGAAGAGAAGGAAGGGUCUUUUGGUCAUCGUUGUCUCAUAGUCUACUACACUUACUUAUUAUAUACUACUGUCUAUUUAUUCGAUCGCUAAGUAUAUCAAGAAGAUAAAGGAAAACUGCAACUCUUCUUCAGCAAUACCAGUAUUCAGCGGCGAGAAUCGCGUAGCAGGACUAGCAAAGAAGAGGAAAGUUGGCGAGGCGGGCGAAGCGAGGCGAGGGGAGGGGAAGGGAGAGGAAGCUACUCUUCGAGGAAGACUUUGGGAGAGCGAGCAAGCGGCUCAUUUUUCGAAGGAGACCAGUUGUCAUCGUGGGUGAGGAAACGUGGCGAGGAACGCCAUGCCGGCAGGUAUUGGCGCUUCGUACAGGUCCUUAGGCGACCUGGGCGAAGACGUUUACAAAAGCACGACGAUCGUCGACCAGACCCAGAGCACCGGCCAAAGCGUUCUCGAGAGCGUCAAGAAGGCUUUCAGCUUCGCUUCCCCUAAAGUGGAGAUCAGGAAAAAGGAUCCAUUGAUCGAGGAUCGACGAGAGAGCGUAUCGAUCGUAUCAAGUUCGAGCAAUGGGACUUUGGCUAUUACGGAUGGUCGGAGUUUAGGACCGGAAGUUGCUACCGCGACUAUUGAUCGACCUCAACUAGAAAAGCAGGCCACGAGGGACAGAAACAAGAUGCCGACCGCCGCCACAGCCGAGAAAACUGCACUUUUGGGCACGAUGCCUUCGUGCAUGCGAGAUAGUAUGGACGAUAUCGAGCUGAAGAAUAUUCAGUUACAAUUUCCGGCGCUGAGGUAUUUGUCGAGAGACGAUAGUUCUGUACGAGAGGAAAGAGUAGAACUGGACAAAGGUAGUCUGCUUGUUGCCGUACAAGGAAACCAGUCGAAACCAGCGAUUCUUACUUAUCACGAUUUAGGCCUUAAUUAUAUCUCGAGCUUCCAGGCGUUCUUCAAUUACAUCGAUAUGCGUGUUCUCCUUGAAAAUUUUUGCGUCUAUCACGUCAAUGCCCCUGGUCAAGAAGAAAAUGCCCCGGCGUUUCCGGAGGAUUACAUUUAUCCGUCCAUGGAGGAAUUAGCAGAACAGCUGCUUUUUGUUCUUGGUCAUUUUGGCUUAAGAUCUGUCAUUGGUUUUGGAGUUGGUGCGGGUGCCAAUAUAUUGGCUAGAUUUGCACUUGCACAUCCAGAAAAGGUCAAUGCACUGUGCCUGAUCAAUUGCGUAUCUACGCAAGCAGGAUGGAUCGAAUGGGGUUACCAGAAGCUCAACGUUCGUCAUCUGAGGUCACAAGGAAUGACGCAAAGCGUCCUUGAUUAUCUGAUGUGGCAUCAUUUUGGCAGGGGUACGGAAGAAAGAAACCACGAUCUCGUUCAAGUGUACAGGAAUUAUUUCGGACAUCGCGUUAAUCCGAUAAAUCUAGCAUUGUUCAUCGACAGUUAUCUGCGACGUACUGAUUUGAACAUCACCAGAGAACUGGAUCCUACACGCAAGAAGGAAGGUCUUACGCUUAGCGUACCAGUCAUGAACAUCACGGGUGCUCUGAGUCCGCACGUGGACGAUACGGUCACGUUAAAUGGACGGUUAGAUCCAACGAACAGCACCUGGAUGAAGAUCUCCGAUUGCGGUAUGGUCCUCGAGGAACAACCGGGCAAAGUAAGCGAGGCAUUUCGACUGUUUCUUCAAGGCGAAGGAUAUGCGGUGAGAUCCUCGCGGAAGCCCAUGACGCCGACAACACCCGAAGGUAAUUGUAAUUAGGAAUUGAAGGCCGCAAGGAGUCGAGCGCGCAGUUGGUCAAUUAGGCCACAUCUAUGUGUUAAUGGCCCCACUUUCGCCAUUGAAGAUGGCCGACUAUAGAUUGGCUUCUCUGGAAGGACUGAAUCAUGUUUGCAGCAAGAAAAUCGAUU